CUGUAAUUGGAAUGAGUACACUUUAAAUCCUUUAACAAGGACCUAUUGGAGGGCAAGUCUGGUGCCAGCAGCCGCGGUAACUCCAGCUCCAAUAGCGUAUAUUAAAGUUGUUGCGGUUAAAACGUUCGUAGUUGAACCUGUGCUUCAUACGGGUAGUACAACUAUAAUUGUAGYCUGUACUGUACCUUAUGUAUGUAAGCGUAUUACCGGUGGAGUUCUUAUGUAUAAGUACUUUAUUUUCCUCCUAUUUAAACCUGCUUCAGUGCUCUUCAUCGAGUGUUGUUGUGGGCCGGUACAAUUACUUUGAACAAAUUAGAGUGCUUAAAGCAGGCUCCAAAUGCCUGAAUAUUUUGUGCAUGGAAUAAUGAAAUAAGACCUCUGUUCUACUUUCAUUGGUUUUUAGAUCAAGAGGUAAUGAUUAAUAGAAGCAGUUUGGGGGCAUUAGUAUUACGACGCGAGAGGUGAAAUUCUUGGACCGUCGUAAGACUAACUUAAGCGAAAGCAUUUGCCAAAGAUGUUUUCAUUAAUCAAGAACGAAAGUUAGAGGUUCGAAGGCGAUCAGAUACCGCCCUAGUUCUAACCAUAAACGAUGCCAGCUAGCAAUUGGGUGUAGCUACUAUCAUGRCUCUCUCAGUCGCUUCCCGGGAAACCAAAGCUUUUGGGCUCCGGGGGAAGUAUGGUUGCAAAGCUGAAACUUAAAGGAAUUGACGGAAGGGCACCACCAGGAGUGGA
rnacentral:rRNA from 1 species